GACUAACGCUGGCGGCGUGCCUAACACAUGCAAGUCGAACGAGGUAGCAAUACCUAGUGGCAGACGGGUGAGUAACACGUGGUCAACCUUCCGAAGAGUGGGGGAUAACUAGCCGAAAGGUUAGCUAAUACCGCAUACGAUCUAUGAACGGCAUCGUUUAUAGAUGAAAGGAGCAAUCCGCUCGUCGACGGGACCGCGUCCCAUUAGCUAGAUGGUGGGGUAAUGGCCUACCAUGGCGACGAUGGGUAGCUGGUUUGAGAGAGCGACCAGCCACACU
rnacentral:rRNA from 1 species